rnacentral:rRNA from 1 species
CCUACGGGAGGCUGCAGUGAGGAAUAUUGGUCAAUGGACGAGAGUCUGAACCAGCCAAGUAGCGUGAAGGAUGACUGCCCUAUGGGUUGUAAACUUCUUUUAUCUGGGAAUAAAAUGUUCCACGUGUGGGAUUUUGUAUGUACCAUAUGAAUAAGGAUCGGCUAACUCCGUGCCAGCAGCCGCGGUAAUACGGAGGAUCCGAGCGUUAUCCGGAUUUAUUGGGUUUAAAGGGAGCGUAGGUGGAUUGUUAAGUCAGUUGUGAAAGUUUGCGGCUCAACCGUAAAAUUGCAGUUGAAACUGGCAGUCGUGAGUACAGUAGAGGUGGGCGGAAUGCGUGGUGUAGCGGUGAAAUGCUUAGAUAUCACGAAGAACUCCGAUUGCGAAGGCAGCUCACUGGACUGCAACUGACACUGAGGCACGAAAGUGUGGGUAUCAAACAGGAUUAGAUACCCUUGUAGUC